UACAUCUUUUUUUUUUUUUAAUUUGCAAAAAUUUAUUCAUAUACAAAUGUGCAAUGUCAAUAAAAUGACCAAAUAGGUUUGUUCUUGAAACAUUUUCAAUUGAACGGGAAUUAAGUGCUUUUGAAAAGUGACAAAAUGAUCAUACAGUGAAGUUAAGAUGUCUCUUUCUUUAUAUAACAAGUAUAAAUCAGGUACUAACUCUUGAUUUUACUCUGAAUUAACCAUGACAUACUAAAUGAACUUGGGCUUCAGGCAGAACCUACAUCUUAAGGCGAGCUCCAGGCAAUGGGUAUGCACAUUAAGGCUUAGGAAGCACUGUUCUAGGUAACGGCUCAGGUCUCUGGGCUUAGCACUACAGGGAGAACGUGACCAGGAAAUGCAGACUUGGGUUCUGAUCUCAGGCUUACCACUAAAUACCUGCUGUUUGCCACAGCCCUGCCCACUUCUCAGGACUGUGGGGGACCAAAUGGGAUCCUUAUUAACAAGGUCCUGUAAGAUCUGGGUCCAGCCUGCCUCAGACCUUAUCAUGUACUACUUUCUAUUUUGAGUUGGGCUUUCUAGCCAGGCUGACCUCAAGCAGAGCUUGUUUCUGCCUCAGGGCUGUUUUCUCUGCCUGGAACACCCUCCCUUUUGACCUCUGCACUGCAGCUGCCUCCUGUUAAUCAGUCUCAGCCUAAAUGUUGUCUCUCCAAUGAGACCCUCCAGGGACUGCACGAGUAUCAAAUAGCUUUGUCAAGAAAUAAAACCUCCCCAGGCUGUGUGCAGUGGCUCACGCCUAUAAUUCCAGCACUUUGGGAGGCCGAGCCCCCACAUCUGGCUGUUUAUGCCUAGUUUUAAAUUAGCUGGACAGCUCCAGAUGCAACCAGAGGUGCAA
rnacentral:antisense_RNA from 1 species